rnacentral:sRNA from 1 species
AGGAUGAGAAGCUUCGACUAAGGUUCGACUCGAGCGUAGCGAGAGAACGUUGCCGCAGGCAACGGCCCGAAGGGCGAGGCGCUUUAGCGCCGAGUCAUCCUUCCCCCACUACUG